ACUGUCCCUAAGUGUUGCAGAUGUGGAUGCUAUGUCACAUGUGUGUCAGUAGGUGGCAGAGAAGAGAAAGGCUGUGUGUAUGCUCAGUGUUCUGACCUAUGAACAUCUAGAUGAUUACUGAACUAAAAUU